CAGGGCUUUGCGUAGGUGUUAACCUCUGCCCCUCUGCGCCUCCGACCACCAGGGCCCCCCACAGACCUGGUGUUCUCGGAUCUUGGGGCCAGAUGGCCCACCCAAGCCACCAGCUCUUCUCCUUGGCAGGAAAUUCCCUAGGCACUACCUGGUAUUUGCCAUCCUGCUGGUCAGAGAGGACCAAGUCCAGUUUGGGGACAGCACAGAGGGGCCAUCAGGAAGCUGGUUGCCUUGGGACCAUCUGGAGCUCCUCAGAUCACUUGGAGGACUUAGGAAUACCUGGAGCCCCCAGGGGACACCUGGAGCCUCACAAGGACCAUCUGGAGCCCCUGGCGACCAUCCGGGGCCCCCUGAGACAAACCGGAGACCUUUAAGGAUCCCUGGGGCCCUCAGAAACACCUGGAACCCCUCAGGACCACCUGGGGCCCUCAAGACCACCUGGAACACCUUGUGACCACCUGGAGCCCUCUGGGACCACGAAGAGCCCCUUGGAGACCCCGCGAGGAGGGGGAGGUGACUGAAAGGAAUGGGCGGUGGGGGGUCCAUAGUGCAGCCACCCUCUGUUGCCAGCCGGGCCUCCCAGAAGGAUCAUUCAGAGAGAGCUCGUCUGUAGAAACAUUGCAGUGGCUCUUGGGGAGGUGAGCCCACCCUCUUUCCUAGAUGCCAAGCACCUGGACUAGCUGCUCACAGGGGCUUGGAUUCUAGGGCCCUGUCAGACCCCAGGAGGUGGGGAGGCCCUUUGAGCAUCUGGGGUAUGAGGGCUAGAGCCCCCCAAGGCCUGGGCUCUGAGGUUUAGGGUAAGCAGGGACUUCAGGGGCUGAUCCUGCCCCUUCCAUGUGCACAGUGGUCCGCUGUCCCCUUGGAGGGUGGUGACGGAUGGGCACAGGUGUACGGCGGACCCACCUGGGUCCAAAUGCCCCUCUGCUGAUUUCCUGGGGCAUGGCAGCCCCUUUGGGUCUUGUGUGCUGGUUUCUGCAACGGGACCAGACAUCUGAGGAGGAAUUGGCUGUAUGUCCUGGAGACCUGGGGACCUCAGAGGAGGCAGGAGAGCACUGGGCCUUUAUGAUCUCAGACAGCCUCUGUCUCUCUCUGAGCCUCGAUUUCCCCAUCUGUUAAAAGAAGAUUCCAGACCCAAAGUGCUCUGGGGCUGCAUGGCAAGAACAAAGUCUCUGAGCUUUCACCCAAGCUGUUGGCAAAUAUUAACUGAGCACAUACUCUGUGCCAGGCACUAUUGUAGGUACUUCAUUCUGCUCUCAGAACUUCUGUUCUAGAUGAGGAGACAAAGGUUAAACAAGAGAGCAAAUACCCCAACAAAAAGUAGAAAGACUGGGGCAAGGGCUCUUUGUUGAGGUUCACGGAGCAGACUCUUGCAAAGUCCUGCAGGAAGAAACCCCAGACAGACAGAACAGCAUGUGCAAAGUCCCUGAGAUGGGAAGGAGACUGGUGUGUUCUGAAGGUCCAGUGGCUGGAGCCUGGUGACCUGGGGUGGGAAAGGAGCAGUGCGGGGGCGCCGGACAGGAGAAAAUGAGGCUGGAAGUGUGACAGGGCCAGAGGCUACAGGGCCUGAGUCCAACCCCUGAGUCCCAGAAAUCCAAGUGGCCGGCACACAGGAGGUAUGCCAGCAGUGCCUGCUGAAUGAAGAAAUGGACAAAGAGUGAAUGAGUGACUCCUGGCUGGGUCCCUAACUCACUGUGUGACCUUGGGCAAGUGUAUUUCCCUCCCUGGGGCUUAGUUUCACUGCUACUAAGACACCCUGAGUUGUCAUUAUUUUCAGCGAAUGGCUGGGCUGGGUGCCUGGCUGCAGCAGACCCUUGUGUAUGUUGGCUCCUUCCUCUUCCCAGGACUGUGAGGGACACGGCCAGCAUCCCCCCUGGGCCUAGUGGGGAAUGUGUGUUCCCAAGGCUGAAGAGGAGCAGCCCCUGGGGGCACAGAAGACCCUCAGCUCAGGCCUUUGACUCCUGUGACAGUUGGGUACUUCAGACCCUUUUCCUGCCCCGUCUGGCAUUCUUUAGGACCCCAGAGGCCCCAGGGCCCACCUCCUGCUCCGCCCACUGGCCUCCCUUCUCCCUCUGUUCAAGGGAUGGCCUCCUGUCCUGCAGGGUUGGGGGCUGGACUUGGGGAGGAGGAGGAGGAGGGACAGAAAAGGAAGGUCAGUGGAGAGGCUGAAAGCCAGUGUGCGUCCAGCCUCCACCCUCUGUGGGUGGGCAGUGCAGAGUGCCCAGGCCUCAGGCUAUGGGAGCAAGAUGAAGGUAGACAGAGGUGGGCAAUGUGCAGGUAGGAAGAAGCCCAGGCCCAAGGGUCACCCAAACACAUGGUGUGGAGACUCCAGGCAGGCAGCCUGCUUCUCAAGUCCUUACUGGGGCAUCCAGAGGGCCAGGCCAGAUGCCCCAGCCGGAAGGGUCCCUGGGGACAGACCUGCCUUCUGGGGCCAUGCACCGGCCACCCACCCCAUGACUUCAGACUCCACAAUAGUUAUUAACAUUUAUCAGGAUAUUUCACACGAACACCUGAGUUUCUUUCAUCUCCUGAAAAGCUGGAAGCUCUGGCCACACAGGUCCAUGCCUGCGUGGGGACAGCUGGCAGAGGCUCCCCUAUAUCACCAUGCCUGCUGGCCUCCAGCAUGCCCGUCAUGGGGGUCUGUGUUGAGACUUGCUGGAGACACAAGGCCCUGUCUCCAGCUCUGCCCUGGUUGCCCCCAUCGCAGCCAACUGGAUCUGUUAAGACCCCCAAGCCUGCCCCGUGGCUCUUGCCUCCUGGAGCAUCACCAAAUGAGACCCCGUGGAGACCCCAUGACAAGGCCUUGUCUCCCCCAUGCUCCCUCUGCUCCUUGCUGUGUGUCACUGGCUCCUCCAGGCCUUGGUGGCCCUGCACUCAACUUAGGCACCCUUCCUGCAACCCCUCCCCCAGGGUGUCCUGGCUGGGAGUGGGGCUCCUAGGGAACUCCUGCCACACCCCCUGCCAUGCCCACUCCCCUUCCCUGCUUCUGUUCCUCCCCUGUGGCUGCACACCUUCUCAAUGUCUCAGUGGGAAUAGCCACUCCAAACAGAGGGAUUUCCUUUCCUCUGUGUUCUCAGGGCCCAGCACUGUCCAAAAUGGACAGCG